GUAGGUGGGGUAACGGCUCACCUAGGCGACGAUCCCUAGCUGGUCUGAGAGGAUGACCAGCCACACUGGAACUGAGACACGGUCCAGACUCCUACGGGAGGCAGCAGUGGGGAAUAUUGCACAAUGGGCGCAAGCCUGAUGCAGCCAUGCCGCGUGUGUGAAGAAGGCCUUCGGGUUGUAAAGCACUUUCAGCGGGGAGGAAGGCGGUGAGGUUAAUAACCUCAUCGAUUGACGUUACCCGCAGAAGAAGCACCGGCUAACUCCGUGCCAGCAGCCGCGGUAAUACGGAGGGUGCAAGCGUUAAUCGGAAUUACUGGGCGUAAAGCGCACGCAGGCGGUCUGUCAAGUCGGAUGUGAAAUCCCCGGGCUUAACCUGGGAACUGCAUUCGAAACUGGCAGGCUAGAGUCUUGUAGAGGGGGGUAGAAUUCUAGGUGUAGCGGUGAAAUGCGUAGAGAUCUGGAGGAAUACCGGUGGCGAAGGCGGCCCCCUGGACAAAGACUGACGCUCAGGUGCGAAAGCGUGGGGAGCAAACAGGAUUAGAUACCCUGGUAGUCCACGCCGUAAACGAUGUCGAUUUGGAGGUUGUGCCCUUGAGGCGUGGCUUCCGGAGCUAACGCGUUAAAUCGACCGCCUGGGGAGUACGGCCGCAAGGUUAAAACUCAAAUGAAUUGACGGGGGCCCGCACAAGCGGUGGAGCAUGUGGUUUAAUUCGAUGCAACGCGAAGAACCUUACCUGGUCUUGACAUCCACAGAACUUAGCAGAGAUGCUUUGGUGCCUUCGGGAACUGUGAGACAGGUGCUGCAUGGCUGUCGUCAGCUCGUGUUGUGAAAUGUUGGGUUAAGUCCCGCAACGAGCGCAACCCUUAUCCUUUGUUGCCAGCGGUCCGGCCGGGAACUCAAAGGAGACUGCCAGUGAUAAACUGGAGGAAGGUGGGGAUGACGUCAAGUCAUCAUGGCCCUUACGACCAGGGCUACACACGUGCUACAAUGGCAUAUACAAAGAGAAGCGACCUCGCGAGAGCAAGCGGACCUCAUAAAGUAUGUCGUAGUCCGGAUUGGAGUCUGCAACUCGACUCCAUGAAGUCGGAAUCGCUAGUAAUCGUAGAUCAGAAUGCUACGGUGAAUACGUUCCCGGGCCUUGUACACACCGCCCGUCACACCAUGGGAGUGGGUUGCAAAAGAAGUAGGUAGCUUAACCUUCGGGAGGGCGCUUACCACUUUGUGAUUCAUGACUGGGGUGAAGUCGUAACAAGGUAACCGUAGGGGAACCUGCGGUUGGAUCACCUCCUUACCUUAAAGAA
rnacentral:rRNA from 1 species